CAGCCGCCACGGGAAUACGAAGGGUGCAAGCGUUACUCGGAAUUACUGGGCGUAAAGCGUGCGUAGGCGGCUUCUUAAGUCGGAUGUGAAAUCCCUGAGCUUAACUUAGGAAUUGCAUUCGAUACUGGGAAGCUAGAGUAUGGGAGAGGAUGGUAGAAUUCCAGGUGUAGCGGUGAAAUGCGUAGAGAUCUGGAGGAAUACCGAUGGCGAAGGCAGCCAUCUGGCCUAAUACUGACGCUGAGGUACGAAAGCAUGGGGAGCAAACAGGAUUAGAUACCCCCGUAGUCCCUGUCUCUUAUAC
rnacentral:rRNA from 1 species